UAAUACGACUCUUCACACGAUUUCAACAUCAAAUAAAUAAUUAAUAUUUAUUAAUUAUAAUUUAAAACGAGUUAAUAAUUUUUAAUUCAAUUAAAAUUACAGAGCUUUCAAAAUGGGUAAAGGCUUUAAUAAUUAUAUGUGUAAAAAAUUUUUCCAUCCAGCGUCUAGAGAUAAUUUAAAAAGAGUAUGGAUGGCCGAACAGAAAUCUGAGAAAGAUAAAAAACGUCAGGAAGAACUACGACUUCAAUAUGAAAAAGAACAAGAUCUUUAUAACAACAAAGCAUUGUUGUCAAAAGAAAGUAAAGAUAAAUUGAGUGUAAAUUUUAUGUAUGAGCCACCUCCUGGAGCAAAGAAGGAAAGAGAACGUGAAGAUAAUGAACCAGAAUACAAAUUUGAAUGGCAAAGAAAAUUCAACGCUCCUAGAGAAGAUUAUUGCAAAGGUGACCAAGAAAUUCGAGAUCAACCUUUUGGAAUUCAAGUUAGAAAUGUUCGCUGUAUCAAGUGUCACAAAUGGGGACAUAUUAAUACUGAUAAAGAAUGUCCCUUAUUCAACCAAGCCAGUAUAUCUGAGGCGGUAACAAGUGUCUCAGCAAAUGGCUCUUCUUCUAAUAUGAAAACACAAGAUUUAAUCAAACAAAUGCGUGAAGACGGUUUAGCUUUAAAGAAAAGUGCAGCUUCUACUCAACAACAAAUUUCAUGUUCAAAUAAUGGUGCGGAUAGUGAUUCAGAACUUUUCAUGUAUAUAAAAUCGUUAACAAGGAAAAAAAAAAUUAAAUUACUAAACUCUCACUGGACCGAUUUCUUUCAACAAUACGUCAAAAGAUCACAAAUCGUAUCUAGUUGAAGACAUUACCCUCAAAAAUUGAAAAAUUUUCCCUCGUUUCCCGCAAAUGGGACGAUUAGAUAGAAUGGAUAGAAUUAUGAUGAAAGAACAAAGAAUAAUCAUGAAGCAAGAAGUAAAAUCAAUGAAGAAAAAAAGGAGAAACAACAGUAGUAGCAGUAGGAGUAGUAGCAAUAGUUCAAAUUAAUUAAUACUUUUUUAGUUUAUAAAUUUUGUAAUUGUAAAAUAAUUAAUAAAAUUAACAAAUGAAUAAAUAAAAAUAUAUAUGGUCUCAA